rnacentral:rRNA from 1 species
UAGGGAAUUUUGCGCAAUGGGCGAAAGCCUGACGCAGCAACGCCGCGUGAUCGAGACGCCCUUCGGGGUGUAAAGAUCUGUCAGUGGGGACGAAACUUGACGGUACCCACAGAGGAAGCACCGGCUAACUCCGUGCCAGCAGCCGCGGUAAUACGGGGGGUGCAAGCGUUGUCCGGAAUCAUUGGGCGUAAAGAGUUCGUAGGCGGCACGUAAAGUCUGGUGUUAAAGGCAGAGGCUCAACUUCUGUAUGGCACUGGAUACUUGCGAGCUAGAAUGCGGUAGAGGUAAAGGGAAUUCCUGGUG